rnacentral:rRNA from 1 species
UACGGGGGGGGCAAGCGUUGUUCGGAAUUACUGGGGGUAAAGGGCUCGUAGGCGGCCAACUAAGUCAGACGUGAAAUCCCUCGGCUUAACCGGGGAACUGCGUCUGAUACUGGAUGGCUUGAGUUUGGGAGAGGGAUGCGGAAUUCCAGGUGUAGCGGUGAAAUGCGUAGAUAUCUGGAGGAACACCGGUGGCGAAGGCGGCAUCCUGGACCAACACUGACGCUGAGUGAGCGAAAGCCAGGGGAGCAAACGGG